CGCGGGGUGGAGAAGUGGUAUCUCGUCGGGCUCAUAACCCGAAGGUCGCAGGUUCGAAUCCUGCCCCCGCAACCA
rnacentral:tRNA from 1 species